AACCCAUGAUUCGGACACUUCCUUAGAAAUUCUUUAUACCGUUCCCACGCUUCAUGAAAAUUCUCAGUUUCAGCUUGCUGGAAAGUUGAAAUUUCAUGCUUUAAUUU